UAUUAGCAUAAAUGUAAAGACUAUUUCAGAUUUCUGUUGUUGAACUCUGAAAAAAUCUGAAGUUGCUGUUUUGGUACCAAAUUCUCUCCUGUAAACUGCCCUUUAAAUGGAUGGGAAUGUUAAAUUGGUUGACAUAAAAAAUAGGUAGACAAUAGACGAGUUGAUAUAUUGACAACAUAGUAAAUGUAUCACCUUUAUAAGGAUAUUAAGGCUAAAAAGCAUUUUUCUAGCAUUUCCGACAGUACUUUAGCCAAUAAUUCAAUAAUGUCUGUAGCUAUUGUGGUAGCUGAGAGACAAGACUAAUGUGCCACCAAGAACACGUUUAAAUACUUAAAACAUUUGAUACUUCAAUCAAAAUAACAAUGUAAUAAUCUGUAAAUAAAUUGAAUUCAUGUUUCACACGAAGGCCCGUUCACGUUUUGUGUCAAAUCGGAUCCCGUUUGCUACAGUUUUCGCGCACUACACGAGGCGACUUGGCAGCACAAAGCUAUGGGAAAAGCAUGACAAUUAUGAACGGGAUAAAGAGAAGUUGAGCUUGGCAGAGGAGAAAAGUGAUCUUCAAAGACUCUGAGGCAUUCCAAAGGGAGGAAGGGGCAGGUUAUGUGAUCAAGAGAUCAAUACCUUCAAGUUAGUAGGUUUAAAUUGUGAAUACUAUUUUUCCAACUUUGUUAAAUAUAUUUCUACCUUAAAUAGGGAUGCCACGAUACAUAAGUUUCAUGAAUCGAUACGUAUCACGAUACACAUGUUACCUAUUUUCACUGCAUUAUUGCAUAAAUGUAGUUACAUUUUGAACAUUGAUAUUUAAUUUUUUAUAAUUGUCCAUGAAAAGAUCAACAGUUUUUUAUCCUCAGAGAUUAAAAUGUUCUAAUUUCCCAUCUUUGUGCAUGAAAAAUAAUCAUAACUCUCACAACAU